GUGGACUCUGCCAAACCCAGCCAAGCCCAGCCCAUGGGGCUUCUGACCGGCCCAGUGAGAUCUCCUGGGGAAAGAGUGUUGGCAACAGUAUCUACCAGUGAAGUACAUUUGGGGCAUCUCUGGUCAUAUUGAUCUAUAUCUGGCCACUGGACCUAAAUGGCUCUGGAGGAGAAAGUGAGACUGGUGACCUUGCACAACCCUCCCUUACUUAAAUCCAAUUCAUCUGCAUAUCAUGGCAUCACCAUCCUGAUUUCAUGAUCCUCUUGGAAAUGAAGGAAAAACAUCAACAACAAAGUGAGGUACUAGUCAAGUCUGAUGAGUGUCCUGAUGUUCUGGAAGAUCAGAGAUCCCCUGCAUAGUAGCUCUACUCUUCUUUGCUUGUCUAUGAGCAGUGGCAAGGCACCAGAAAUUAUAUUAAGUAGGUCAGAUUGUUUGGGGAGAUAAAUUAUGAUGCGUUUGUCUCAGAUAUAAUUAAAUGACCUAGAAAAGUUUAUGAGGCUCAAAUGUGAAAAUAUAUGUAAAGUACUUUGCAAACCUUAAAGUGUUAAUUUAUUAUUAUGUUAGAGAGUACAUUUCUGAAGUUCUCUGUGUCCAUUCUCAAAAAGAUUUUGGGAACAGUGACAUCACAACUGUGAUGUGAUUUUGCAUAGCACAGGGUCUAGCAAGAUACUAGACAAAAAGCUUUUUAAAAAUGUUAUUCAUUUAUUCACAACAAUGGAAAAAUAGUUUCAAUUUAAGUAACUUGGUUUGACAAUAAUCAAGAAAUCAUGUUUGAUCAAUUCUGAUGGAUGUGGCUCUCUUCAUCAAUGAGAUAAUUCAAAUCAGUUCCAGUUGUUUAGUGAUAAAGAGAGCCAUCUACACUCAGAGCAAGAACAGUGGGAACUGAGUAUGGACCACAACAUAACAUUUUCACUCUUUUUGUCAUUUGCUUGCAUUUUAUUUUGCGUCUCUUUUUUAUGUGGCAUGAUAAUUAUAUAAAUAUGUAUACAUAUAUUGGAUUUAAUAUAGUUCUACCAUGUUUAACAUAAAUUGGACUACUUGCCAUCUAGGGGAGGGUGUGGGUGAAGAGGAGAAAAAUUGGAACACAGGGUUUUGCAAGUGCUAAAGUUGAACAAUUGUCCAUGCAUAUGUUUUGAAAAAUAAAAAAAUUUAAUAAAAAAAAGUAAAAAAAAAAAAAAAAGAAAUUAUGCUUGAUCACAAAUUUCUUCCUUCCUUCCUUCCUGAGGCAAUUGGGGUUAAGUGACUUGCCCAGGGUCACACAGCUGGGAAGUGUUGUGUCUGAGAACAAAUUUGAACUCAGGUCCUCCUGACUUCAGGGCUGGUGUUCUUAUCCACUGCGCCACUUAGCUACCCCUACAAAUAUUUUUUUAUUAAUGAAGUAUUCUACACUUAGGAAAAAUUCAUUUAUAACACAAAAUAUCCAUAUAACUAAUUUCAAAGCAUUAAAUUAGAACAAGUUAUAAGGCAACUAAAUAGAAUGGUUCCAUUAUAAAGAUAAUUUUUUUCUUUUGUUUCUAUACUUUAUGUAUAUGUCAUAAGACUAAGAAGCACUAAGGUACUAGGCUCUUCACUUCUUAGACCCAUUUAUCUUCACCUUUAUCUGCAUAAAUUAGACCAUUGGCAGCCAUACCUAGGAGGAGUUAAGCAUCUUGGACCAACACUCCAAGGGCCAGUGACUGUUUAGCCUCUUCAUCCAUCCUGUCUAUCAUUUAUCUCCUUGUCAUUAUGAGAAUAUCCCUUUUUCUCCUCAGGCUCACAGAAUCAAUAUCAUCAUUGCUCCCAGAAAGGGCAAAAUGAACUGUCCUGUUGUUCUAUUUAAGAAUAUACAGAAGAAUUGUAGAAAGAUUUCAAUAAAACCAAUAACUAUGAUAGUGUGAUUGUUGAAUUAGAACCAGACAUCCUGGAGAAUGAAGUCAAUUAGGCCUUGGGAAGCACUGCUUACAAUUAAGUUAAUGGAAGUGAUAGAAUUCCAGCUAAGAUCAAACAGAAAAAUCUUAAUAAAAUUUUCUUUAGAUAUAAAGUAUAAAACAAAGUGAAUAUACAAAAAUGGAAGACAGAAGCAUUCUGAAUGAAAUUUAAUCAGAACUGGCUGCCUGUAGGCCUAAAAUAAAAUCAAUAUAUAUUGACAAAUGGAGUGAUUUGUCAUUUCCUUCUCCAGUUCAUUUCACCGAUGAGGAAACUGAGGCAAACAGGUUUAAAUGACUUGCCCAGGAUCACAAAGCUAGUAAGUGUUUGAGGCCCCAGUUGAACUCAAGUCCUCCUAAUUCAAGAGCUACUGCUACUAUCUUAAACUGCUUGAAAGCAGAAACUAUUCCAUCUUCAUUGUAGCCUUAGUUCCCAGCACAAAGUCUUGUAUAGCAUUCAUUUUUUGUUAAACUGAAUCAAAUUACAUAAGCCAAACAAAGAUAUGAAAAAUUCACAACUUCCCCACUUAAUUAUAUAUAUUUACUAAGUCAGGCAUCAUAGAAUUUGUUCUAACCUUGCAUCCUCCAAUGAUCUUUACCUGUUUUUUAGUUUGCUACCCAAAGUAG